GAAUCUCGGGAGUCCCUCCUAACCGGAGAAGGCCCGCACAAUCAUUACUUUCACACACUAGUGCAUUUGUCCCCCUUUUAAUACCUUUAACCCUGUAUGCAUUUGAAACAGUCAUUGGUUACAAACAUGAUAAAUGAAAGAAAAACUUUCAGCAAUGGAUCUCUUGGCUCU
rnacentral:misc_RNA from 1 species